GGUGGGGCUUAUGGGGGGUACGGUGGGGGAGGUGCUUAUGGAGGAUACGGCAGAUAAAAAUACAUGCGAAGAUCUAUAUACAUGGGAUGCAAUUACGACAAUUAAUAUUGUCCGGUAGCAAUUGGUUUUCAAUAGGAUUUUCCAUUAAAUAAAUUAUAUGUGGACAAUGAA